UCAAUAACCAGGAGAUAAAGAGUAGAUAGGUGAUCAAGAGGUGUCGUAGAUACAGGAUGCUUAUCGAUGUUUGGAUGUUGUUAGAUGGUUAUUAUGGAGGUGAAUCCAGUGAAAGUCGGAGGUGGAUUUGAGGUGUGAAUAAGUGUGGCCCACUGGCCACUGCGCUGUUUAGCCAUGGCCGGCAUAGCAACGGUGGCGAUCCUCAUGCUGCUCGCCUCCGCGUCAUCAGCCCCCGUGUCCCGCACCCUCGACUCGCUGGUCUCCGGAGACACCCUUGGGCUGGAGCUGCCCACGGCGCUGCUGGCAGGGGCGGGGGCGGGGGCGGUGCAGGUGGUAGUCAACGUCUACACAGACAGCAGCGGGAAUAUCCAGGUCGACCCGGCGGUUUUUUAAAGUGUUAUCCACAACGCGGACUCUUCCAACAUAUCAGUGUGUCUGAUUUCCCGGUAAACAAGUGCUGGUACGGAAGUUUUAGACGAUGAAACUUUGAUCUACCCAACCAAAGUGCAUUAUAGUUUUAUAUCGAUAUUUUAUGAGCGUAUAAGAUACUGAGAUGUCGUUAAGAAAUCUUCAUAAAGCCAGAGUGAAUAACGUAGAGAUAAAAGUGAUAAAGCCGAGUAAAGUGAACACAGAUGCAGGCAUGUUUCGAUGAUGCGAAUGCAGUGCCUUGACUGUGGACUUCACCAGAACUGUUGUGAGUCGAAGGAUUCAGAUCAACAUGUCUUCGACUAAAGAAGAGGAGUUAUAUGCUGAAGGAUUACAGUAGAUAUAUUAUGUCCUGAAGGAUGUAGUAUACCUAUAAUUAUGUUUCUGUGAAGGAAGAACUACUUACAUCAAUCACAGGGAGAGGACGCCCGUGUGAUUGGUUUUUCUUUUAACUUAAUUAAGCAUGAUUGUAUCUGUACUUAAUAUAAGUUGUUUAUAAAUUGCCUAAAA